GAGAGUUUGAUUCUGGCUCAGGAUGAACGCUAGCGGGAGGCCUAACACAUGCAAGCCGAGCGGUAGAGAUCUUUCGGGAUCUUGAGAGCGGCGUACGGGUGCGGAACACGUGUGCAACCUGCCUUUAUCUGGGGGAUAGCCUUUCGAAAGGAAGAUUAAUACCCCAUAAUAUACUGGAUGGCAUCAUUCGGUAUUGAAAACUCCGGUGGAUAGAGAUGGGCACGCGCAAGAUUAGAUAGUUGGUGAGGUAACGGCUCACCAAGUCUGCGAUCUUUAGGGGGCCUGAGAGGGUGAUCCCCCACACUGGUACUGAGACACGGACCAGACUCCUACGGGAGGCAGCAGUGAGGAAUAUUGGACAAUGGGUGAGAGCCUGAUCCAG
rnacentral:rRNA from 1 species